rnacentral:rRNA from 1 species
CCUACGGGUGGCUGCAGUGAGGAAUAUUGGUCAAUGGGCGCGAGCCUGAACCAGCCAAGUAGCGUGAAGGAUGACUGCCCUACGGGUUGUAAACUUCUUUUAUAAAGGAAUAAAGUGCGGCACGUGUGCCUUUUUGUAUGUACUUUAUGAAUAAGGAUCGGCUAACUCCGUGCCAGCAGCCGCGGUAAUACGGAGGAUCCGAGCGUUAUCCGGAUUUAUUGGGUUUAAAGGGAGCGUAGGUGGGUUGUUAAGUCAGUUGUGAAAGGUGGGGGCUCAACCGCGAAAUUGCCAGUAAUACUGGCAGACUGGAGUAUAGUUGCGGUAGGCGGAAUGCGUGGUGUAGCAGUGAAAUGCUUAGAUAUCACGCAGAACUCCGAUUGCGAAGGCAGCCUACUAAACUGCAACUGACAUUGAUGCUCGAAAGUGUGGGUAUCAAACAGGAUUAGAUACCCGUGUAGUC